rnacentral:rRNA from 1 species
UGAGGAAUAUUGGACAAUGGAGGAGACUCUGAUCCAGCCAUGCCGCGUGCAGGAAGAAUGCCCUAUGGGUAGUAAACUGCUUUUAUACGGGAAGAAAAGGAGCUACGUGUAGCUUACUGACGGUACCGUAAGAAUAAGGACCGGCUAACUCCGUGCCAGCAGCCGCGGUAAUACGGAGGGUCCGAGCGUUAUCCGGAAUUAUUGGGUUUAAAGGGUCCGUAGGCGGGCCGAUAAGUCAGGGGUGAAAGUUUGCAGCUCAACUGUAAAAUUGCCUUUGAUACUGUUGGUCUUGAGUUAUAGUGAAGUUGCCGGAAUAUGUAGUGUAGCGGUGAAAUGCAUAGAUAUUACAUAGAACACCGAUUGCGAAGGCAGGUGACUAACUAUAUACUGACGCUGAUGGACGAAAGCGUGGGGAGCGAACA